UGGGGAAUAUUGGACAAUGGGCGCAAGCCUGAUCCAGCCAUGCCGCGUGGGUGAAGAAGGCCUUCGGGUUGUAAAGCCCUUUUGUCCGGAAAGAAGAGCAUCGAGCUAAUACCUCGGUGUUCUGACGGUACCGGAAGAAUAAGCACCGGCUAACUUCGUGCCAGCAGCCGCGGUAAUACGAAGGGUGCAAGCGUUACUCGGAAUUACUGGGCGUAAAGCGUGCGUAGGUGGUUCGUUAAGUCUGAUGUGAAAGCCCUGGGCUCAACCUGGGAAUUGCAUUGGAUACUGGCGGGCUAGAGUGCGGUAGAGGAUGGCGGAAUUCCCGGUGUAGCAGUGAAAUGCGUAGAGAUCGGGAGGAACAUCUGUGGCGAAGGCGGCCAUCUGGACCAGCACUGACACUGAGGCACGAAAGCGUGGGGAGCAAACAGGAUUAGAUACCCCGGUAGUCCCUGAGCGGGCUGGCAAGGCGCAU
rnacentral:rRNA from 1 species